AACGUCGAAUGAGGAACAUGAAUGGCAAACAAAAUACUUUAGCCCGGCGGGCGCGGACGGGCGGGGUAAUCAAGGCGCAGGUGGGGUGACCACCAACUGUCGAGACUGUCCUCGGCAUAAGUGUUGUUCGUUUUCUCGGGGCCAGCCUUGUGUGUGUCCCGGCCCCGCCCUCUCACUAUGGCAUGCUCCUCCCACUUUUUGGAUAUCGGGAGGACAUGGGAGGGGGAGAAGGCUAAGGAACAAGAAUAAGAAGUUGGAUCGGGUCGGGCGCAAUGGCAUAAGCGCUGCU
ensembl:ncRNA Y65B4BL.12 ncRNA